CAAGAUCACUCAUAGGGAUGACAGAAAAGGGAAAAUAUGUAGUGUUUCCAACUGAGGAACUGCAUGCCAAGUUUACUAAGAUACUACCUUUCUGAUGCAUUGAAUAUGAACUAUAUUGACAAUGCUAAGAUCAUUACUGUAGGUCAAAGCUAUAAAUAAAAAUACUCCUGGGGGAAUUCUGCACCACUGCAUGUGUGCAUAUUUCAUGUGCCAUGCAUUUUUUUCCCCAGAAAAUAGCUUCUGCUGAAAAGUUGCUACAGUUCCUUUUGCCCACCAGAGGGCACUGUGGUGCUAGAACACAGCAGCCACUCCUGGCCAGUCCUAGCUAGGAUAGGGAAGAGAAAGAGCCUGCAUUGGCUUCUUCACAGCACCUGUCAGGCCAGACAUAUUUGCUGACAUACAAAGACAAAACCAUACACAGAUGAACACUGUUGCUGUAUAGCGAACACUUCCCCACAUGCUGAUAAGAUUGACAGCUUCCUCACAUACUAUUCUUUCCUACGAAUCUUGGCAGGAAGUCUUGAUUAAUCUCUUGCACAGCUCAGUGUCAACAUUUUGUCUUUUCACUGUAAGGCCCUGUCUACAUUAUAAAUACUUCCAUAAUCAGAGACCUAGUUUCAGCACAACAUGGUUUUUCCACUGACUUACCUCCAGUGUAAAUAGGGUAAUAAGAGGAAAGCAAGAACAGGUUAAGGUACAUUUUACUACAGAUUUCACACUUGGGAGAAACGACACUUGUCACCUCGGGAAACAGAACAAUACAGUUGUACAAUGUAAACAAAUCCUCAUUGGCCUCUUAAUGCUGUACUCAAUGCCUCAUGUUUUUACCUGUAAAUCAGAAUCUUUAAUGAAAGUUUUAAAAGAUUUUUUAAUAAGGUAUU